UAUGAAUCUCUCACUCCCGAAUUUUUUUCUCCACCCUCUCAUAGCUUCGAUCUCACUAAGAAAAGGUAUUUACAUACAUACCUUUUUAUUACUCCCUUUGUAUGCAUCACAUAUCUGUAUCUGCUAAUUGCCCCAUGGAUGAUGGCCCUCAGUUUCUGAUGGUCCACUGUGCCUCCAUAUAGGAAAUGGGAAACUUAGUGAAUCUACCAGGUUACCUAUUCUCAAAUAGACAAAUCAUACAUGAAAAUCUUGAUAUGAUUGUAUAUGAGGAUUUGAAGAUGUUGGUCUUUGAGAGAGUUAAGUGAUAGCUGCUUAUGAAGAGAGGCUUUUGUCCUAGCUAUGAUCCUGGAGAUUUAUAGUGCAGAUAUUGAGUUCCUAUGCAAAUAGGUAUGUUUAUCACUUCUUGUAGGUUCCAUAUUUGGUUAUUAUCUUUCCUUUUUGUCCUGUGUUAGAAAUUAGAAUGUGGGAUUGGCUACACAUGCUCUGCCAAGUUACAUAGAUAACAUGUUGGCAACCAGAAUGAGUUCGCCUUUGUGGCUUGGCAUCUAUAGAAAGAUGAAACUUUGACUAUUAAAAUCAUCAUACAUGAAUAUCUAGAGUAACAGGUUAGCUGUUCUGGAAUUACCAGUAAGUUUUUAUUUGGUUAGGGCAACACUUCUCUGUUUUUCUGGGCAUGUUGAAUGGCAGGUGAUUUCAUUUGCUACCAGAAAUUUUGCCACAAUUUGAGUGGACUGGUCUGGACUGGACUGGACUGGGACUAUGCUGCCAUCAUUGUCCUUUCUAUAAAUAUUUAUUUAUUUGGUCAACAAUGGUUUUCUUGAAGAAACUUUGAAUACCUUGUUUUUAGCAAAAUUUUCAGUGAGCAGGUUAAAGAAAGGUGAAGGUAAGUUACUAAUGGUAAUUAAAUAUUAGGGUGCACAUGGGAUGAGCUCUGCAACUUCAUGCGUUUUGAAAUAUAUCUUUGUUUGUGUAUAGAUUUGGGCCACCACGUAUGCAAACAUGCUAAAGGUUGUAAUGGUUGAACAGA